AGCGGAGCGGAGUGCUUGCACUCUGCUGCCGGCGACCGGCGCACGGGUGAGUAACACGUAUGCAACCUGCCCGGAGGCGGGGAUAACCCGGCGAAAGCCGGACUAAUACCGCGUAUAUAUUCAGGAGGCAUCUUCGUGGAUAGGAAAGGACUUCGGUCCGCUCCGGGAUGGGCAUGCGGCGCAUUAGGCAGACGGCGGGGUAACGGCCCACCGUACCGACGAUGCGUAGGGGUUCUGAGAGGAAGGCCCCCCACACUGGUACUGAGACACGGACCAGACUCC
rnacentral:rRNA from 1 species